rnacentral:rRNA from 1 species
AGUGAACGCUGGCGGCAGGCCUAAUACAUGCAAGUCGAACGGCAGCACAGCAGAGCUUGCUCUGUGGGUGGCGAGUGGCGGACGGGUGAGGAAUACAUGGGAAUCUGCCCAGUCGUGGGGGAUAACGUAUGGAAACGUACGCUAAUACCGCAUGCGCCCUACGGGGGAAAGCCGGGGACCGCAAGGCCUGGCGCGAUUGGAUGAGCCCAUGUUCGAUUAGCUAGUUGCGGGGUAAAGGCCCACCAAGGCGACGAUCGAUAGCUGGUCUGAGAGGAUGAUCAGCCACACUGGAACUGAGACACGGUCCAGACUCCUACGGGAGGCAGCAGUAGGGAAUAUUGGACAAUGGGGGCAACCCUGAUCCAGCCAUGCCGCGUGAGUGAAGAAGGCCCUCGGGUUGUAAAGCUCUUUUGUCCGGAAAGAAAGCAUCUGGUUAAUACCCGGGUGUUCUGACGGUACCGGAAGAAUAAGCACCGGCUAACUACGUGCC